AGAGAACUGUGGAUGUUCCUCAGUGAGAGGAGCGCGUUCAGCCCGUCCGCCAGUCCACUGCCAAACUCCACUUCCUCUCCCGGCCAUGUGCCGCUCGCACCCAACACUGCCAGAACAGAAGAGGAGACCAGCAGACUGCCUGCACACCUGCGCAUGCAGCCGGUGUUCUGGAGCCGUGAGGAUGUGUGUGUGUGGCUGCGCUGGGCG